AGAAGAUAUGGAGCCGCAGGAGAGAGUGAGAGUGAAAGUGAAAGGGAACUUCAUGCAUGGGCAACAAAACUCGAGAGAUUUUUCAAAAGAAAAAGAAAGAAUGUUUAUUUCUCUUUUCGUUUUUGGGGAAAGUGUUUUAGGAGAGAGAGAGAGGUGAAGUAUCAAUUCCAGGAGAAGAUAUGGAGCCGCAGGAAUUUUCAGAAGGGGACAAGAUAUAGACUUUUUUUUUCGUCCCCCUUUCUAUCUUCUUUUCCUCCCCUUGUUUCUGGUUGCUCUUCGCUUGCCUUGAAUUUUUUUGGGGCUUUUGUUGUUUCAUUAAAUCUGGGUUCAUGUGAGAGAGGGGUUUAUCUUCUUGUUUGAGCUCACUUGCUUGGAGGAUGGAUUGAAAUUCUUGUCUGCUUCAGUUUUCAGAGCCAAAACCGCAAAUGGUGGUCUUACAGCAGUUACUAAACAUGGAAGAUUCUGGAAGGUACUAACUAUUCUUGUCAUCAGAUUUUUCUUAUUUUUCUAUUAUUCCUUACAAACAACAAAAUAUGAUUUGUAUCAGUUCAAGAGUACUUUUUAUCAUGCUAGGGUUGAUAAGAAGGUCUUGUCAAAUGGAGAUGUUUAUAUUGGCGAUUUUAAUGGAGUGCUUCCCCAUGGCAAAGGAAAAUACACGUGGAAAGAUGGAACAGUCUAUGAGGGUGAUUGGGAAGAAGGUAAAAUGACAGGAAAAGGACAUAUAAUUUGGUCGUCGGGAUCAAAGUAUGAAGGUGAUUUUUCUGGUGGUUACCUUCAUGGAUUUGGCACCUUUGCGGGACCUGAUGGGUCUGAAUACAGAGGAGCCUGGAGGAUGAAUAUACAGCAUGGGCUUGGAAGGAAGCAAUAUUCUAAUUCAGAUAUUUAUGAAGGUUCUUGGAAGGAAGGAAUGCGUGAGGGUAGUGGUAGGUACUCUUGGAAUAGUGGAAAUACUUACAUUGGGAAUUGGAAAGGUGGAAAAAUGUGUGGAAGAGGGGUUAUGAAAUGGGUAAAUGGUGAUCUUUUUGAUGGAUCUUGGUUAAAUGGGUUAAGACAUGGUUCUGGAGUUUAUAGGUUUGCAGAUGGGGGAUAUUACUUUGGAACCUGGAGUAGGGGCCUAAAGGAUGGGAAAGGAACAUUUUAUCCUGCUGGAACCAAACUUCCAUCUUUAAGGAGAUGGUCUAGUUCUUUAUGUUAUGAUGACAAUGGAAGAAGUUCAUUGUCUUAUAGUGCAUCAUUAAAUUCAGAGCAAGGACCAAGUGUUAGCCAAAGUCUUUCUGAGAGAAUAUCAAUUAAUGGUAUGUUGAGAAAUUCUGGUCGAAUAUCAAACAGAACUAACUCAUUAGAUGAGAAUUGGAGUCCUUGUGACUCAGCCAGAGAAUUAAUGAGUCGUGAACCAUCAUGUGUGCUUUCACAUGCCCCUAAUGAAGGUCAAAGAGGGGUGCAACAUCUAAGUGCCGUGGUUUACGAAAGGGAAUACAUGCAAGGGGUUCUGAUCAAAGAGAGAAUCAGAAAUACAGAACCAUUGCACAAAACUAAACAGAAAAAUAAAUUUCAUAUGAAAGAAGCAAAAAAGAAGUCAUGUGUUGACAUAUUUGAAGGCCAUCAGAGCUAUUAUCUAAUGCUUAAUUUGCAACUUGGUAUCAGGUAUACUGUUGGCAAGAUCACACCAGUGCCUAUGCGUGAAGUUCGACAUUCUGAUUUUGAAGAUCGAGCUAGGAUAAGAAUGUAUUUCCCUAGAAAGGGUUCCCAGUUCACGCCUCCACACUAUUCUAUUGACUUCUAUUGGAAAGAUUAUUGCCCUAUGGUCUUCAGGAAUCUGAGGGAGAUGUUCAAGUUAGAUGCAGCUGAGUACAUGAUGUCUAUUUGUGGUGAUGAUGGCCUGAGGGAGAUUUCAUCUCCAGGGAAAAGUGGCAGUAUCUUCUAUCUUUCUCUUGAUGAUAGAUUUGUGAUUAAAACAUUGAAGAAAUCUGAACUCAAGUUUUUUCUCAAGAUGCUGCCCGACUAUUACCGUCAUGUAGGAAAGCAUGAAAAUACUCUAAUAACAAAAUUUUUUGGGGUCCAUCGAAUAAAACUAAGAGGUGGAAAAAAGGUGCGCUUUGUGGUCAUGGGGAAUAUGUUUUGCACUGAAUUAAGAAUUCAUCGACGUUAUGAUUUGAAGGGGUCAACUCAAGGAAGAAUGACAGAUAAAGAUAAAAUUGGAGAGAAUACCACGUUAAAAGAUUGUGAUCUAAAAUACGACUUUCAUAUGGACAAAAUGUUGAGAGAAUCCCUCUUCAAACAACUUUCUGAAGACUGUAGGUUCUUGCAAUCUCAACAAAUCAUUGAUUAUAGCCUUCUCUUGGGUUUACAUUUUAGAGCACCUGAGCAAUUGAAGGCAGUAUUAGAAUCUUCUGGUACUAUAGCCAAUUAUGAGAGUUCACCUUCUAGUGAUGGUGUAAGUUUACAAGGGGAGCCCUUGAUUCCACCAACAGGCUUGCUCCUUGUUACCCAUGAACCCAGCUUUGUCGACACUGCACCUGGUCCUCACAUAAGGGGAAAUACAUUAAGAGCAUAUUCUCUUGGUGCAAAGGAAGUUGAUCUCUUAUUGCCUGGCACUGGAAGGUUACGAGUUCAAUUAGGAGUAAACAUGCCCGCUCAAGCCAGUCGCAAACUUGAGGAGGUUGAUUCAAUGGAGGUUGAACUUUUUGAGGUAUAUGAUGUUGUCCUUUACAUGGGCAUAAUUGAUAUAUUGCAGGAAUACAAUACGAGAAAGAAAGUCGAGCAUGCAUGCAAGUCCUUGAAGUUUGACCCUCUGUCUUUUUCCGCUGUCGAACCCAAAUUGUAUGCAGAUCGUUUCCUCAAGUUCUUACAGAAAGUUUUCCCUGGGCAACCAUAAAAAGAUUUUGGCUUUAUAUGCUUCAUCCUACUUGCCACUGUUGUAUAGUAAGAGUUUCCCCCUUCAUUUUUUUUAGCCUUUUCUUGUCUUAAAAGUGAAAAUUCUAUAAUUACUCUAUUUUGGUGGUUGCUUCAAUACAAAAUUCUUUGACAAUGAUUUGUUUGUAAAUGAUAUCACCGCCAAAUAAAUGUAUCCAUCUUUCCAUUUGUAUAGUAAUAUUCAGUUCAGCCAAUGGUAUUUUUGCUGAUAAUGCCUACAAUGAGG
rnacentral:misc_RNA from 1 species